UACGAAGGGGGCAAGCGUUGUUCGGAAUUACUGGGCGUAAAGGGCGCGUAGGCGACUUAUCAAGUCAGGCGUGAAAUUCCCGGGCUCAACCUGGGGGCUGCGCUUGAUACUGAUGAGCUUGAAUGCGGGAGAGGAUAGUGGAAUUCCCAGUGUAGAGGUGAAAUUCGUAGAUAUUGGGAAGAACACCGGUGGCGAAGGCGGCUAUCUGGCCCGUAAUUGACGCUGAGGCGCGAAAGCAUGGGGAGCGAACAGG
rnacentral:rRNA from 1 species